rnacentral:lncRNA from 1 species
AAAAUUGUAUGUAGGUAUGUGAUGUGAAAUGAUGUAAUGAAUGCACUAUGCGUCUGAAACGUUCUUCCAGGGGACUCUACUGGGGAAUAAAUCUCAGUCUUCUGGCCGGAGAUAUUUGUAUCGAUGACCCUUUCUUAGCUGGGGUAUUUGAUUUCUGUCUGAUGGUAAAAACAUUCGACAGAGCCUGGCUGGGGAUAGAAGAGAUGACAUGUCUGUCUGGUGGUGCCGAC